rnacentral:rRNA from 1 species
UACGUAGGGUGCAAGCGUUGUCCGGAAUUAUUGGGCGUAAAGAGCUCGUAGGCGGUCUGUCGCGUCUGCUGUGAAAAUCCAGGGCUCAACCCUGGACCUGCAGUGGGUACGGGCAGACUAGAGUGCGGUAGGGGAGAUCGGAAUUCCUGGUGUAGCGGUGAAAUGCGCAGAUAUCAGGAGGAACACCGGUGGCGAAGGCGGAUCUCUGGGCCGUAACUGACGCUGAGGAGCGAAAGCAUGGGGAGCAAACGGG